rnacentral:rRNA from 1 species
GAUGAACGCUGGCGGCGUGCCUAAUACAUGCAAGUCGAGCGAAUGGAUUAAGAGCUUGCUCUUAUGAAGUUAGCGGCGGACGGGUGAGUAACACGUGGGUAACCUGCCCAUAAGACUGGGAUAACUCCGGGAAACCGGGGCUAAUACCGGAUAACAUUUUGAACCGCAUGGUUCGAAAUUGAAAGGCGGCUUCGGCUGUCACUUAUGGAUGGACCCGCGUCGCAUUAGCUAGUUGGUGAGGUAACGGCUCACCAAGGCAACGAUGCGUAGCCGACCGGAGAGGGUGCUCGGCCACACUGGGACUGAGACACGGCCCAGACUCCUACGGGAGGCAGCAGUAGGGAAUCUUCCGCAAUGGACGAAAGUCUGACGGAGCAACGCCGCGUGAGUGAUGAAGGCUUCGGGUCGUAAAACUCUGUUGUUAGGGAAGAACAAGUGCUAGUUGAAUAAGCUGGCACCUUGACGGUACCUAACCAGAAAGCCACGGCUAACUACGUGCCAGCCGCCGCCGUAA